AACAAAAACAAUGUCUGCACUCAGCUUCGCCGGAUGAGUGCCGGCGUCGAUCGCGAACCGCCAGAGCCGCCAAAUACCUCUCGUACAUCUCCAAGAACACCAAGAACAGGAGGUAUUCAUAAAGGUCUGAACCACGCGAGGAUCGUCUCGAAGCAUGGUAGCCUCAACAGACGCUUGCCGCCACACGCGAGGAGAAAGCAGGAGGCCCGAAGUUUGAAUGUGAAGAGGAGGUGCGAAGAGCUGGCCCUCACUUUUUCAAGGCAGCCGCAGAACACUACGAGCCCCGAAUCACUGCCGCGGCUGACUCACGCGGAUGCUGUGCUGCACCCUGCACUGCACAUGGUUCGAAGCACACUUCAGCGGACCAGUGCAUGCCCCUGAUGCAUCGUCGAGGUAUGUUUUGUACUGCUUUUCCUAGCGGUGCACUGAGCAGUCCAAUCUUGAAGGGAGCACGCGAGUGCGUAGCCAGUGCUCCAUGCAGCAAGGACCGCAAGCACCCGCGGAAGCUUGGAGCACACGCAGUGACGCCAGCAGCCGUGCACGCUGGCGUCGUCUGCUACUGUACCGUCCUUUCGUUCGAAGCACUGUAUGGCUCUCUGCACGCUAGAAUGGGGGCUGUCGUUGAUGCUCGCAGGGGCGUUGCCCACAACUAAGCAGACGACCAAAGUCCUGAGCAGGUCCCGGGGAUCAUGGCAUCGAUGAGCUCGCUUUCGCCUUGUCCAAGGUAGCAGCGGAACACUACGGGCAGGCCCGGAGUCACCGCACCGGCUGGCUCACGGGCGUCGUCCUGUACUCUGCACGGCACUGCGUGUGGCUUAACCGGCCAAGCAGAGGGUCACUGCAUGACCUUUAUGAGGCGUCGCUAGCCAUUGUAAGUAUAUUUUGGACGCUCGUGUCAGGGGAUGUACUUUUGUGUUCUACAACAGAACAUGUUUGGUGGCGGUUCAGUCUUGCCAAUUCAGCCAUUUCGAAACAUAAUUUUGUGGCGACUUGGCUUAGGUUUUCUGGCUCGGCCGUCUUUUGCACCAGUGUCUAGGCUCGGCGUAAGCCUCUUUGUUCUUUAUUGUCAAGGCUAGUGUAAUUUCUGCUACGCCGUCGAAGCAACUUCUGCAUGCGAACAAGAUGCAAGACGAAGCUACAUGCUCGUGCUCAGUGCAUGACCACAUGUGAAAACUAAUAGCGAGUUUGUUUCGCUGCACUCGUGCCCAUGCGCAGCCACUCGCAACAUGAAGUGAGUUUGUUUCGCCGCCGGCACUCCACACGUGCAUGCGCUCGCUGCACCCUGAGGAUUAAGUGUGUACCUGAAUG